rnacentral:rRNA from 1 species
CCUACGGGUGGCUGCAGUGGGGAAUAUUGGACAAUGGGGGGAACCCUGAUCCAGCCAUGCCGCGUGUGUGAAGAAGGCCCUCGGGUUGUAAAGCACUUUCAGUGAGGAAGAACGCCUGGUGGUUAAUACCCAUCAGGAAAGACAUCACUCACAGAAGAAGCACCGGCUAACUCCGUGCCAGCAGCCGCGGUAAUACGGAGGGUGCGAGCGUUAAUCGGAAUUACUGGGCGUAAAGCGCGCGUAGGUGGCUUGAUAAGCCGGUUGUGAAAGCCCCGGGCUCAACCUGGGAACGGCAUCCGGAACUGUCAUGCUAGAGUGCAGGAGAGGAAGGUAGAAUUCCCGGUGUAGCGGUGAAAUGCGUAGAGAUCGGGAGGAAUACCAGUGGCGAAGGCGGCCUUCUGGACUGACACUGACACUGAGGUGCGAAAGCGUGGGUAGCAAACAGGAUUAGAUAUCCCAGUAGUC